rnacentral:rRNA from 1 species
GAUAGGCUGGGUGUGGAAGUGCAGUAAUGCAUUAAGCUAACCAGUACUAAUUGCCCGUACGGCUUGUCCCUAUAACCUUAGCAGGUUAU